ACUCCUACGGGAGGCAGCAGUGGGGAAUAUUGCACAAUGGGCGCAAGCCUGAUGCAGCCAUGCCGCGUGUAUGAAGAAGGCCUUCGGGUUGUAAAGUACUUUCAGCAGUGAGGAAGGCAGGUACGUUAAUAGCGUGCUUGUUUGACGUUAGCUGCAGAAGAAGCACCGGCUAACUCCGUGCCAGCAGCCGCGGUAAUACGGAGGGUGCGAGCGUUAAUCGGAAUUACUGGGCGUAAAGCGCAUGCAGGUGGUUGUUAAGUCAGAUGUGAAAGCCCGGGGCUCAACCUCGGAACUGCAUUUGAAACUGGCAGACUAGAGUACUGUAGAGGGGGGUAGAAUUUCAGGUGUAGCGGUGAAAUGCGUAGAGAUCUGAAGGAAUACCGGUGGCGAAGGCGGCCCCCUGGGACAGAUACUGACACUCAGAUGCGAAAGCGUGGGGAGCAAACAGGAUUAGAUACCCU
rnacentral:rRNA from 1 species